ensembl:lncRNA
UGGAGACGCUCCCCGCGGGCCUCGAGUCCUGCCUCCCGCACUGCGGUCCUGGGGAACCUGGAAAAGGCGCUUUCCCUCCUACGGAUGUCUUUCUUUUGUACACAGUUGGCGUUCUGUUUUGCUCGGAGCAUUUUUGGUAGCACCCCGAGGUUGGGUAACACCCAGGGCUUGGCCAACCCCAUCGUGCUCUUUUCUCCGCUUGUAACAUGUGUGACCACAAAGCCACCGCAGGCAUCACGUGGGUCGCUCAGCGGCUCGGACGCAGACACGCCUCUGGCUUCCCCUGGAGGGCGGGGCUUCGCCUUUACCCUUUCCUGCCGGUCACUGGCCGUCAGGACGAAAGGACUGGAGGAAAGAAGGAACUGCCCACUUCCUUUAAGAAGCUGUGAAGCAAAUGGCUCUUCCACCUUUAAAGUUUUCAGAAGGACUUUAUGCCCACUGUGGAUUGCCUGAAAAAUCCCAUGGACGGGGAAGCCUGGUGGGCUGCAGUCCGUGGGGUCGCUAAGAGUGGGACACGACUGAGAGACUUCACUUUCACUUUUCACUUUCAUUCAUUGGAGGAGGAAAUGGCAGCCCACUCCAGUGUUCUUGCCUGGAGAGUCCCAGGGACAGCGGGGCCUGGUGGGCUGCCGUCUAUGGGGUCGCACAGAGUCGGACACGACUGAAGCGACUUAACAGCAGCAGCAGCAGUGGAAAAACCAAAUACCACAAUACAGUUACAUCUCACGAUUUGUUAAUAUUUUGUUAAGUUUUUCCCUAAACAUCUGCUGCUAAGUCACUUCAGUCGUGUCCAAAACAUCUGCAGCCUUGGAAUAAUGUGAGUUUGGAUGGAGGGUGACGAGGAAUGGGCUGGUAUCCACUUUCCAGGCACCACCUUCGCGUUAGGACUCGGGGACCACAUGGACCCUACAGCUGACGCAGUUUGGAACUCUGGCCCCUACUCACAACAGGAAGGUUCAAAUGAGAUGAUAAAUUGUGGGAAGUUAGGAGGUUACUAAUCUGUCAUAAUACGGUUUAAAUGAGGUCUGUUUCCUACAUCCGUGCAGUGGUCUGUAACACAGGUUCCGUCCAGAAGCCACGGGAGAGGAAGGGGCAGGCAACGGGCAGAGUCCAAGCAGCCGUGUGCAUCCAGCAGGUAGGUGGCUGGUCGUCCUGUCCUGUAGGGGGAUGCUCAGCAGAUAGGUCAUCCCGUCUGUGUCCCAGGUGAUCAUCAGAGCCCAUGCCAGGCGCAGACAGGCUCAGAACCCAGAGGUAACACACCAGCUCCCCGCUGGCACCUGGGCACUGGCUGACCCCCGAGAGUGGGUGAUGACAGGACGCAGCACGUUGCUCGGGCGGGGCUGCCAGUUCACACCGCCACCUCUCACCAGCCCCUUUUCACGGAUGAGGCCACCUUGGCUCCAACACGUCAAGUCGUCAAAGUUCACAGAGUAAGUGGCGGAGCAAAGAUUCAACCUUGGGCCAAAUGGACCCCAAAGCAGAUGCUCUCAGCUACCAAGCCAC